rnacentral:lncRNA from 1 species
AAAUGAACUUGAACAGACAAUUGCAUUCGUUUAUACGUACACGUACAUAUUGUCCAUCUACUCCAUCCUUUCAUCCAUUGUAUGAAUUAUUCAGCGAUGAAAUGAACAAGAAGAAGGAAAUAGUCAUAAGCUGAUCAGAUUGUAGUUACUGUGGACAAUUCUUUUGAUAAAGAUUUUUUCUCAGACGACAUCGCAGUUAUCUUACCGUCUAGUUCAAGUAAAAACUUGUGUUUUGUUUUUACAGCGACUAAAGAUAGCUAUUAGAAACUCAUAGUCAUUCUACUUCAACC